GGUUAAGCGACUAAGCGUACACGGUGGAUGCCCUGGCAGUCAGAGGCGAUGAAGGACGUGCUAAUCUGCGAUAAGCGUCGGUAAGGUGAUAUGAACCGUUAUAACCGGCGAUUUCCGAAUGGGGAAACCCAGUGUGAUUCGUCACACUAUCAUUAACUGAAUCCAUAGGUUAAUGAGGCGAACCGGGGGAACUGAAACAUCUAAGUACCCCGAGGAAAAGAAAUCAACCGAGAUUCCCCCAGUAGCGGCGAGCGAACGGGGAGGAGCCCAGAGCCUGAAUCAGUGUGUGUGUUAGUGGAAGCGUCUGGAAAGGCG
rnacentral:rRNA from 1 species